AAUGGCCGUUUUUAUACUAGAGACGCAUUAUGCGUCUGGACGCAUAAUACGUCUUCUAUAUUAUUCGUCUAGUAUAAAGACGGGACGAAUAAUCCGACGAACUAUCAGCAUUUAUUGUUCGUCUGGUUAUGCGUCCUCAGUAUAAAGAUGGGCACAAGACGCAUUAUGCGUCUGGACGAACUAUCAUCGGUUGUGCGUCUCUUAAGACGAAGAAUCGAACAUAGUUCGUCUAGACGCAUAAUGCAUCUUGUGCCCGUCUUUAUACUGAGGACGCUUAACCAGACGAACAACAAAUGCUUGCCCAAGUUCGUCCAGACGCAUAAUGCGUCUCUAGUAUAAAAACGGACAAUCAAUAUUUGAGGAACACUUCAAUUGGAACGACAGUAAAGAAUGUUA